rnacentral:rRNA from 1 species
GACGAACGCUGGCGGCGUGCUUAACACAUGCAAGUCGAACGGAAAGGCCCUGCUUGCAGGGUACUCGAGUGGCGAACGGGUGAGUAACACGUGGGUGAUCUGCCCUGCACUUCGGGAUAAGCUUGGGAAACUGGGUCUAAUACCGGAUAGGAACCAUCUUUAGUGUGGUGGUUGGAAAGUUUUUUCGGUGUAGGAUGAGCUCGCGGCCUAUCAGCUUGUUGGUGGGGUAAUGGCCUACCAAGGCGGCGACGGGUAGCCGGCCUGAGAGGGUGUACGGCCACAUUGGGACUGAGAUACGGCCCAGACUCCUACGGGAGGCAGCAGUGGGGAAUAUUGCACAAUGGGCGCAAGCCUGAUGCAGCGACGCCGCGUGGGGGAUGAAGGCCUUCGGGUUGUAAACUCCUUUCGCUAGGGACGAAGCUUUGUUGUGACGGUACCGAGAUAAGAAGCACCGGCUAACUACGU